AUUGUCUUUAAUAAAGUGCUUUUAACUGUGUCGUCACAAAAAAUUCACAAAAGCAUUCCUGUUUUUGCACGAUUUAACCUUAUCCAGGGCUGGUGUAUCUCAGGGCAUUGCGCAAGAGCCAACUCUAUAUGUCUUAUUCACAGCAGAUAUAUCAACAGCUAAAAAUGGAUUGACAUCCACUUUUGCGGAUAGCACAGCUGAAGCAUUUGAUCAACUUAUCUUGGCAUUGACUUGGAUAGAAUCUUCAUCACAUCAACCAUGGCUCAUCAUAAGACAUCAGAGCAGCAAAUUUCAAUUUUAAACUGCAGAUUUACAGAAGGGCAACAAUAUUAAUUAUGUCGACAACGAAUGCGCAAAUAAGCAGACAUAUAAAAAGAGACGAAUUAUUGGAAACUUUAAUGGCUUUAGCGUAAAGCGAAAUUUAGCUGUAUAUUCUGUUACGCAACAUGCGCACGCAUCAGGUAUAGAACUUUAAGUUGGCAUUACUGUUCAAGAUGGCGACCGAUUUAACAGC